rnacentral:rRNA from 1 species
AUGCGGAGGGUGCAAGCGUUAUUCGGAAUCACUGGGCGUAAAGGACGCGUAGGCGGGUUGGCAAGUCAGAUGUGAAAUCCUACAGCUUAACUGUAGAACUGCAUUUGAAACUGCUAACCUAGAGUAUGGGAGGGGGAGAUGGAAUUAGCGGUGUAGGGGUAAAAUCCGUAGAUAUCACUAGGAAUACCGAAAGCGAAGGCGAUCUCCUGGAACAUAACUGACGCUAAGGCGUGAAAGCGUGGGGAGCAAACAGGAUUAGAAACCCUAGUAGUCC